GAUGAACGCUGGCGGCGUGCCUAAUACAUGCAAGUCGAGCGAAUGGAUUAAGAGCUUGCUCUUAUGUAGUUAGCGGCGGACGGGUGAGUAACACGUGGGUAACCUGCCCAUAAGACUGGGAUAACUCCGGGAAACCGGGGCUAAUACCGGAUAACAUUCUGAACCGCAUGGUUCGAAAUUGAAAGGCGGCUUCGGCUGUCACUUAUGGAUGGAACCGCGUCGCAUUAGCUAGUUGGUGAGGUAACGGCUCACCAAGGCAAAGAUGCGUAGCCGACCUGAGGCGGAGGUCGACCACCCUGGGACUGAGACACGGACCAGACUCCUACGGGAGGCAGCAGUAGGGAAUCUUCCGCAAUGGACGAAAGUCUGACGGAGCAACGCCGCGUGAGUGAUGAAGGCUUUCGGGUCGUAAAACUCUGUUGUUAGGGAAGAACAAGUGCUAGUUGAAUAAGCUGACACCUUGACGGUACCUAACCAGAAAGCCACGGCUAACUACGUGCCAGCCGCCGCGGUAA
rnacentral:rRNA from 1 species